rnacentral:rRNA from 1 species
AGGGAACAGUUUGAUCCAAAAGUUUUCACAGAUGCAAAUUCCUUGAUGCCGUAGACAUCGGAUGCAGAUCAGCAUUCUAUCUCUCUCAGUCUUGACAUAGAUUCUGCAGUUGUAGCAAGAAAUCUCUGUUUUGGCUUGCUGCUUGGUCCACUUUUUAGGUGUUCUUAGGUAGGAAAAACAAGCCACAGUAUGGAUUUGUGAUAUUUGUUAGACAACAGGUCAACAGCAACAAUAACGUCGUCGCUGUCUGUUGAGGAACAAUGGCAAGAGGCACACUGCAAACAAGGAUACAGUUCAGGAAAAACAUCUCUGCACCAACCAGGAGAAUAUCAGUGGGAGCAGUGUCCAGAAAGGCAGCCGCUUAUGGCUCGGCGGCAUAUAGGCUCCAGACGACGCACCUCAUCUCGCUCACUGGUCGCUGGUCGAUUUAUCCUGCAUAAUCGGUGAUUUUGGUGCUGGUCUGUGGUGUCACAAAUGUCUAGCACCUUACUGAACACUGCGUGCAGUGAGGGAGAAGUUAUGUUCUCGAACGUCUAGUGUAGAGACCAGAGUGGUUCCAUCUACGAGCUUGCUUUUCUUCCAUGUACGAGAGUUCCCUUCUGUACUAGGCACGUUUUUGUUAGUGUUCUAGUGUGUGUGUGGCGCGCGCGUGUGUGUGAAUUCAUGUAGAUUUUACCUGUAUUCUUAACUUAAUUUUACUGACAAGUUCUGUCACCUGUUACCUCUGUG